rnacentral:misc_RNA from 1 species
CUGGAACAAACGCCCUCACGGGUGCUACCCAGAAACCCUGUGUGAAUACUACCUAAAAUGUUGCCUCGGCAUUGGUUGGCCUCUUUGAGGUCCCUUUCCCUCGGGGAAGGAGCAGACCGGCCGGUGGCCCUAUAAACUCUUGUUUUUGUAAUAUCAUCUGAGUAAAAAACAUAAAUAAAUCA